UUCCGGUUGAUCCUGCCRGCGGCCACCGCUAUUGGGUUUCGCUUAAGCCAUGCGAGUCGAGAGGGUUCGGCCCUCGGCAGACUGCUCAGUAACACGUGGAGAACUUGCCCUAGGCUGGAGGAUAAUCUCGGGAAACUGAGGAUAAUACUCCGUAGUCCAUCCGUCCUGGAACGGUGGGUGGACAAUAGCUCCGGCGGCCUAGGAUAGCUCUGCGGCCUAUCAGGUUGUAGCGAGGGUAACGUCCUCGCUAGCCUACGACGGGUAUGGGUGUUGGGAGACAUCGCCCAGAGAUGGAUUCUGAGACACGAAUCCAGGCCCUACGGGGCGCAGCAGGCGCGAAAACUGCACAAUGUGGGAAACCACGAUGCGGGAAACCCAAGUGCCAGCACUAUGUGUUGGCUGUCCUCCAGUGUUCGUAACUGGGGAAGAAAGUGCUGGGUAAGACGGGUGCCAGCCGCCGCGGUAAUACCCGCAGCACAAGUGGUGGUCAUUAUUAUUGGGCCUAAAGCGUCCGUAGCAGGCUUGUUAGAUGCCUGGGUAAAUCGAUGCGCUCAACGCAUCGACUUCCGGGUAGACCGGCAAGCUCGAGACCGGGAGAGGUGUAGGCUACUCGAGGGGUAGGGGUAAAAUCCUGUAAUCCUUCGGGGAGGACCAGUGGCGAAGGCGCUACACUAGAACGGCUCUGACUGUGAGGGACGAAGCCCUGGGGCGCAAACCGGAUUAGAUACCCGGGUAGUCCAGGGUGUAAACGCUGCAGACUUGGUGUCGGUGAUCCUACGAGGGUUGCCGGUGCCGGAGAGAAGUUGUUGAGUCUGCCGCCUGGGGAGUACGGUCGCAAGACUGAAACUUAAAGGAAUUGGCGGGGGAGCACCGCAACGCGUGGAGUGGGCGGUUUAAUUGGAKUCAACGCCGGR
rnacentral:rRNA from 1 species